ACGAUCUGGUUUCUCUUCAGAUCGUAUAAAUCUUUUGCCUUUUACUAAAGAUUUCCGUGGAGAGGAACAUUUAUGAGUUUAUAACUAAUUUUUGAGAGCCAGUGUGGUGUAGUGGUU